UUUCUUUCUUGCUUGAAAAGAAACCCACCCCCACUUGUUUUUCACCUUCAAAACAGCAAGCUCUUGUCGAGCUCUUCUCAUCCACAACUCUAAACAGCAAGCUCUUCUCAUCAACAAGUUUUUCUCAUCAACAAGCUUCAAUCGAAACCAUACAAACAAUCCAUACUUCGAGGUUAUACCUUCAAUCACCUUACUCACUGAGACUCUGUCUUGUUGUUUCAAGAAUCAGUAGCUACUUAUCUCUUUCACAAAUGUUAAAAUGCUGGAAAUUGCAUUCAUACUUUCAAUCCAUAGCAAACCAACAAUUGUAUGAGUUUUGAACUUCAAAAGCUGUAAAGAUGCAAACUUUAUAUAUAUAUGCAUAUAUCUUUGUAUAUCUACAAUACAUAUGUGUGUAAAAGCAAUUACAAAAUGCCUUUUCUGUUGAAUCGAAAAUAGAAGGGUGAAGAAGCUUAUGAUGUUGAGUAUGUGUGCUUGCUGUGUGUGAGUCGAAAUCAAGGGGGAGGGCAGGCGACGGUCGGCGGUGGUUCCGCGCCACUGUUGACCGGAGUGCGCAGAGAGAGAGAGGGUGAGAAGGGCGGCGGUGGUUAGCUCCCGCUGCUGCGACCGCCGGAUCUGUGAACAGGGGAGGGUUGAGAGAGAGACGAGGGAGAUGGAGGGCGCGGCGGCAGUCCGUUUCUUCUGCUGCUGUCGGCCGAUUCGAGUGAGGAGGGUGGGAGUUCAGCGGCGGCUGGUCUGGUGCAGUCGUCGGAGGGAGUUCUGGGUUCGGUGAGAUAGAGGGCGAGUGAUGGGGGCGGAAUUCGAGAGAGUGAAGGGAGAGCCGAGGGUGGCGCGGCUUGUCGCCGCUGCUUCCCCGGCGAGUCUCCGCGGCGGCGGAAUUUCCGAGAGAGAAGGGGGCGAAUUUUCUGGUGUCGAAGAGAGAAAGAGAGAGAGAGAGAGCAGAUUUCAAUUGCGUGUGUGUGUGUCGUGUGUUUGAAUAAGGGAGGAGGGUUAAGGUUUGGGCCAAUUCUUUGGGCCUUUCUUUUUUUUCAGAUGGGCUGAUUUUAUUUCAUUUAAUUAGCUGGGUCCAUUUUAUUUAUUUAGUGAAGUGGGCUGAAGUUUUUAAUUUGUUGGGCUGGGUUAUUUUAAAUGAUCAGGCCCGAUUCUUCUUAUGUAUUUGGGCUGCCCUAUUUUUAAUUAAUUAAACUUACUUAGUUUGAUUAAUUUAUUUAAAGAAUAAUUUGCAUAAUGAUAUGAUAUUAUUAUUAUGUACAUAUUUUAAGUAAUUACUUAUUAUA
rnacentral:lncRNA from 1 species